AUGAGCGAUGAACUCUUUGAUCUACAGGAAUCCGAUUUCCGUUUUGUCAAAGAGAAGGAAGAGGUGAAAGAGGAUGAGGAGGAUCCCCUUUACUAUCUUCCCCACUGAUCCAACCUUCUUUUGGACCGAGUCCUGGAGCUCAAGCUGUGGAUCAUUAUUUUGUUAAUUCCAGAGAACAUUCUUACGCACACAUCCUGACUUCGUCGCGUGGUAAAAGCAAAGAGAAAUUCUCUGUACGAGAAGCAAUUAAUUGAAUCUCCAUGCAAACGAAGAAGACGAAAGUGCACGGUGAUGUAGAAUAUAGGAUGAAUUCUCCAGAGAGUGCAUUUGAUGCAAGCUAACUGGAUGACCGGAUGCUGGCAGUUUGCUUUCCUGAAAUAUUCGAAGAACUUGCCUUAAUUUCCACAGAAUUAUUAAGUUGCUACCGUGCUCGGAAAUUAUUUAUUGAAAAGCCGUAACUGGAAAACUUUCUUAUAACCAUCGGAUUACUCGGUACGGCAGCUUCGAGUUUGUUACCAAACAAGGAUUAUCUAACGAGACACACGCCACAGGUAGUGUAAUUUAUAGAGGCACAUUCUGUUUCUAAGAAUAUAUCCCUCUAUGUAUUCUUUAUAUGAAAAUCGAUUCUGGCAACCUUAAAGAAAAUGUUUCUCAACGUCGUGUCUCUACGGCUUUGGAACUAAGGGCAAUAUAAUCCAGGCUUUUCCGGAGGCGGCUUUAUUUUUUCCACAUGUUUACUGGAAAAAGCCGUAUCUGAUAGGUCCUGGUAUUAAAAGGACAUAGAUAGAUAUGC